rnacentral:tRNA from 1 species
CCGCGUUGGCCGAGGCCAUGCCGCGGCGCAGGUCGCUUUCGUCGACCACGUCGUCGUGCAGCAGGGUGGCGCUGUGGAUGAACUCCACCACCGCCGCC